GGGUGAUUUAGGACCAUAGAAUGUUUGAACUGGAUACAAACACAUCUCCUGAGAAACAUUUCGCAGAAAUUCUGAUAGCAGCUGUAUGAGUUUCUGUUUCCUCCGAAAUUAAGAAUGCUGGAGAUUGGCAUGUCGUCUGGGGUAUCUGACCGAAUGGAGAGGGAAGACACAAUGUUACUGCCAUCAAGAGCACCAUAAUCAAAUGGCCCAGCCAGAGCACCUGAAACUGAAGACGGCAGUCAAGGAGGCUCACCCAUGGGACCACAAUUUCCCAGAAAGUUUUUCAGAACCUCACUGGUAACUUUGAACAGAUAACCGAAAAUUAUCAGACAUGUAAGGAAAACCACCAACACCAACAGUUUGCAUUUGUGGAUGCAAAAUGAACAAAUCUUUUGGAAUCUCUAAAAAGACACAAAGAGUUUCAUUCGAGCUCAAGUUGGGGGGACUGCCCGGGAAACUUGCUCUUCACAGGGAAAAAAGUGCUCAGGAGAGUGAAAAGUUUUACAGGGUUGUAUGCUUUUUCACAUUUUGUGAAAGGUCAGAAGGUUGUAAGUUAACAUAUAGGCAGGAAUCGCAAGAUUUAAUGUCAAGGGGGUAGGGGCACUGAUGGAUAUCUUAAGGACAAGACGGUUUUCCUGUAUGUACUUGUUUGCAAGGCAGACCUACGAUGUCUGCUUGGCGGGCCAUAAGGCACGCUUUUGGUUUAAACAAAGCUUAUGUACGUCACACUGACUUAGAAAGAAAUCUAAAUGCCUUCCUUUAUAAAUCAGGCCUUUAUGAGA